GACGAACGCUGGCGGCGUGCCUAAUACAUGCAAGUUGAGCGCUGAAGGUUGGUACUUGUACCGACUGGAUGAGCAGCGAACGGGUGAGUAACGCGUGGGGAAUCUGCCUUUGAGCGGGGGACAACAUUUGGAAACGAAUGCUAAUACCGCAUAAAAACUUUAAACACAAGUUUUAAGUUUGAAAGAUGCAAUUGCAUCACUCAAAGAUGAUCCCGCGUUGUAUUAGCUAGUUGGUGAGGUAAAGGCUCACCAAGGCGAUGAUACAUAGCCGACCUGAGAGGGUGAUCGGCAACAUUGGGACUGAGACACGGCCCAAACUCCUACGGGAGGCAGCAGUAGGGAAUCUUCGGCAAGGGACGAAAGUCUGACCGAGCAACGCCGCGUGAGUGAAGAAGGUUUUCGGAUCGUAAAACUCUGUUGGUAGAGAAGAACGUUGGUGAGAGUGGAAAGCUCAUCAAGUGACGGUAACUACCCAGAAAGGGACGGCUAACUACGUG
rnacentral:rRNA from 1 species